GCUUCGCUCGGGUGAAGCGGAAAUCCUUUUUGAGUUUUUUCACCGAAAAAAGAUUGCAGCGGAUAGCAGGAUUAGCU
rnacentral:sRNA from 1 species